AGGUGGUCAGGUAGAGAAUACCAAGGCGCUUGAGAGAACUCGGGUGAAGGAACUAGGCAAAAUGGUGCCGUAACUUCGGGAGAAGGCACGCUGAUAUGUAGGUGAAGCGACUUGCUCGUGGAGCUGAAAUCAGUCGAAGAUACCAGCUGGCUGCAACUGUUUAUUAAAAACACAGCACUGUGCAAACACGAAAGUGGACGUAUACGGUGUGACGCCUGCCCGGUGCCGGAAGGUUAAUUGAUGGGGUCAGCGCAAGCGAAGCUCUUGAUCGAAGCCCCGGUAAACGGCGGCCGUAACUAUAACGGUCCUAAGGUAGCGAAAUUCCUUGUCGGGUAAGUUCCGACCUGCACGAAUGGCGUAAUGAUGGCCAGGCUGUCUCCACCCGAGACUCAGUGAAAUUGAACUCGCUGUGAAGAUGCAGUGUACCCGCGGCAAGACGGAAAGACCCCGUGAACCUUUACUAUAGCUUGACACUGAACAUUGAGCCUUGAUGUGUAGGAUAGGUGGGAGGCUUAGAAGUGUGGACGCCAGUCUGCAUGGAGCCGACCUUGAAAUACCACCCUUUAAUGUUUGAUGUUCUAACGUGGACCCGUAAUCCGGGUUGCGGACAGUGUCUGGUGGGUAGUUUGACUGGGGCGGUCUCCUCCUAAAGAGUAACGGAGGAGCACGAAGGUUGGCUAAUCCUGGUCGGACAUCAGGAGGUUAGUGCAAUGGCAUAAGCCAGCUUGACUGCGAGCGUGACGGCGCGAGCAGGUGCGAAAGCAGGUCAUAGUGAUCCGGUGGUUCUGAAUGGAAGGGCCAUCGCUCAACGGAUAAAAGGUACUCCGGGGAUAACAGGCUGAUACCGCCCAAGAGUUCAUAUCGACGGCGGUGUUUGGCACCUCGAUGUCGGCUCAUCACAUCCUGGGGCUGAAGUAGGUCCCAAGGGUAUGGCUGUUCGCCAUUUAAAGUGGUACGCGAGCUGGGUUUAGAACGUCGUGAGACAGUUCGGUCCCUAUCUGCCGUGGGCGCUGGAGAACUGAGGGGGGCUGCUCCUAGUACGAGAGGACCGGAGUGGACGCAUCACUGGUGUUCGGGUUGUCAUGCCAAUGGCACUGCCCGGUAGCUAAAUGCGGAAGAGAUAAGUGCUGAAAGCAUCUAAGCACGAAACUUGCCCCGAGAUGAGUUCUCCCUGACCCUUUAAGGGUCCUGAAGGAACGUUGAAGACGACGACGUUGAUAGGCCGGGUGUGUAAGCGCAGCGAUGCGUUGAGCUAACCGGUACUAAUGAACCGUGAGGCUUAACCUUACAACGCCGAAGCUGUU
rnacentral:rRNA from 1 species